rnacentral:rRNA from 1 species
GACGAACGCUGGCGGCGUGCCUAAUACAUGCAAGUCGAACGACGAGACUUUAACUGAUGCUUGCAUCGACCAAAGGAUCGGAGUGGCGAACGGGUGAGUAACACGUGGGUAACCUGCCUAUCAGAGGGGGAUAACACUUGGAAACAGGUGCUAAUACCGCAUAACAAUCAUAACCGCAUGGUUAUGAUUUGAAAGGCGCUUCUGGUGUCACUGAUAGAUGGACCCGCGGUGCAUUAGCUAGUCGGUGGGGUAACGGCCUACCGAGGCGAUGAUACGUAGCCGAACUGAGAGGUUGAUCGGCCACAAUGGGACUGAGACACGGCCCAUACUCCUACGGGAGGCAGCAGUAGGGAAUCUUCCACAAUGGGCGCAAGCCUGAUGGAGCAACGCCGCGUGAAUGAAGAAGGUCUUCGGAUCGUAAAGUUCUGUUAUUAGAGAAGAACACGUGUAAGAGUAACUGAUUAUGCGUUGACGGUAUCUAAUCAGCAAGUCACGGCUAACUACGUGCCAGCCGCCGCCGUAAGAC